rnacentral:rRNA from 1 species
GGGCAUAAAGAGUGCGUAGGCGGGUCUUUAAGUCAGAGGUGAAAUCCUGGAGCUCAACUCCAGAACUGCCUUUGAUACUGAGGAUCUUGAGUUCGGAGAGGUGAGUGGAACUGCGAGUGUAGAGGUGAAAUUCGUAGAUAUUCGCAAGAACACCAGUGGCGAAGGCGGCUCACUGGCCCGAUACUGACGCUGAGGCACGAAAGCGUGGGGAGCAAACGAGGAUUAGACUACCCUGGUAGUCCACGACCGUAAACGAUGAAUGCCAGCCGUUAGUGGGUUUACUCACUAGUGGCGCAGCUAACGCUUUAAGCAUUCCGCCGUGGGGAGUACGGUCGCAAGAUUAAACU